rnacentral:misc_RNA from 1 species
UCACUCUGCUGCCGCUUGUGC